AUGAACGCUAGCGGCAGGCUUAAUACAUGCAAGUCGAGGGCAGCACGAAUAGCAAUAUUUGGUGGCGACCGGCGCACGGGUGCGUAACACGUAUACAACCUACCUAUAACAGGGGGAUAGCCUUUCGAAAGAGAGAUUAAUACCCCCGUAAUAAAUUGAGUGGCAUCACUUGAUUUUGAAAGCUACGGCGGUUAUAGAUGGGUAUGCGUCUGAUUAGCUAGUUGGUGAGGUAACGGCUCACCAAGGCGACGAUCAUAGGGGGAUCUGAGAGGACUAACCCCCACACUGGUACUGAGACACGGACCAGACUCCUACGGGAGGCAGCAGUAAGGAAUAUUGGUCAAUGGAGGCAACUCUGAACCAGCCAUGCCGCGUGCAGGAUGACGGCCCUAUGGGUUGUAAACUGCUUUUGUACCAGAGAAAACCUACUCACGUGUGAGUAGCUGAUAGUAUGGUAAGAAUAAGCAUCGGCUAACUUCGUG
rnacentral:rRNA from 1 species